CGGAGUUGACAAGAGGAAGUUUUCGGAUGGAAUCUUGUUAAUUUAGCGGCGGACGGGUGAGUAACGCGUGAGCGACCAACCUUGCACAGGGGGAUAACGGACCGAAAGGUUCACUAAUACCGCAUGAGACCACGGUGUUGCAUGACACAGAGGUCAAAGGAGGAAUCCGGUGCAAGACGGGCUCGCGUCCGAUUAGGUAGUUGGAGGGGUAACGGCCCACCAAGCCUAUGAUCGGUAGCCGACCUGAGAGGGUGAUCGGCCACAUUGGAACUGAGAUACGGUCCAAACUCCUACGGGAGGCAGCAGUGGGGAAUAUUGGGCAAUGGGGGAAACCCUGACCCAGCAACGCCGCGUGAAGGAAGAAGGUUUUCGGAUUGUAAACUUCUGUCCUUGGUGAAGAGAAGAAGACGGUAGCCAAGGAGGAAGCCCCGGCUAACUACGUGCCAGCAGCCGCGGUAAUACGUAGGGGGCAAGCGUUGUCCGGAAUGAUUGGGCGUAAAGGGCGCGUAGGCGGCUUUAUAAGUCUGGAGUGAAAGUCCUCUUUUCAAGGGAGGAAUUGCUUUGGAAACUAUAGAGCUUGAGUGCAGGAGAGGUUAUCGGAAUUCCCGGUGUAGCGGUGAAAUGCGUAGAUAUCGGGAGGAACAUCGGUGGCGAAGGCGGGUAACUGGACUGCAACUGACGCUGAGGCGCGAAAGUGUGGGGAGCAAACAGG
rnacentral:rRNA from 1 species